rnacentral:pre_miRNA from 1 species
GUAAAGGUGGUCCUCACUCGUUUCUACUUAUCGUAAGUCGCAGUAUUCCGGAAAUUUUUAGGGUGAAAGUAAAUUUCAAUACUUUUUGUUAUCAUAAGUAACCAGUGUUUAUACUAUCAUCGG